rnacentral:rRNA from 1 species
UACGGGGGGGGCAAGCGUUGUUCGGAAUUACUGGGCGUAAAGGGUGCGUAGGCGGUUCGCUAAGUUGGAUGUGAAAACUCUGGGCUUAACCCAGAGCCUGCAUCCAAUACUGACGGGCUAGAGUUCUGGAGGGGGUAGCGGAAUUCCUGGUGUAGCGGUGAAAUGCGCAGAUAUCAGGAGGAACACCGGUGGCGAAGGCGGGUCUCUGGGCCGAUACUGACGCUGAGGAGCGAAAGCGUGGGGAGCGAACAGG